rnacentral:rRNA from 1 species
GWMAAAKGCACGAAGUUUGAUGGAGCGACACAGCGUGCAGGAUGAAGGCCCUAUGGGUUGUAAACUGCUGUGGUAAGAGAAGAAAAAACCGAGGAGGAAAUGCCUUGGUCUUGACGGUAUCUUAUUAGAAAGCAACGGCUAACUAUGUGCCAGCAGCCGCGGUAAUACAUAGGUUGCAAGCGUUAUCCGGAAUUAUUGGGCGUAAAGCGUCUGUAGGUUGUUUGUUAAGUCUGAUGUUAAAUUUUGGGGCUCAACCCCAACACGCAUUGGAUACUGGCAUACUAGAGUUAUGUAGAGGUUAAUGGAAUUCCUUGUGAAGCGGUGGAAUGCGUAGAUAUAAGGAAGAACACCAAUAUGGCGAAGGCAGUUAACUGGGCAUACACUGACACUGAGAGACRAAAGCGUGGGGAGCAAACAGGAUUAGAUACCCUGGUAGUCCACGCCCUAAACGAUGAUCAUUAGCUGAUGGGGAACUCAUCGGCGCAGSKRRSGSRUUAAAUGAUCCGCCUGAGUAGUACGUUCGCAAGAAUAAAACUUAAAGGAAUUGACGGGGAUCCGCACAAGCGGUGGAGCAUGUGGUUUAAUUUGAAGAUACGCGUAGAACCUUACCCACUCUUGACAUCUUCUGCAAAGCUAUAGAGAUAUAGUGGAGGUUAACAGAGUGACAGAUGGUGCAAAA